AGCGAACGCUGGCGGCAGGCCUAACACAUGCAAGUCGAACGAACCUUUCGGGGUUAGUGGCGGACGGGUGAGUAACACGUGGGAACGUGCCUUUAGGUUCGGAAUAACUCAGGGAAACUUGUGCUAAUACCGAAUGUGCCCUUCGGGGGAAAGAUUAAUCGCCUUUAGAGCGGCCCGCGUCUGAUUAGCUAGUUGGUUGAGGUAAUGGCUCACCAAGGCGACGAUCAGUAGCUGGUCUGAGAGGAUGAUCAGCCACAUUGGGACUGAGACACGGCCCAAACUCCUACGGGAGGCAGCAGUGGGGAGUCUUGCGCAAUGGGCGAGAGCCUAACGCAGCCAUGCCGCGUGAAUGAUGAAGGUCUUAGGAUUGUAAAAUUCUUUCACCGGGGACGAUAAUGACGGUACCCGGAGAAGAAGCCCCGGCUAACUUCGUG
rnacentral:rRNA from 1 species